CAGAGCUGUAGCCACUGGCCUGCACCACAGCCACAGCAAUGCCAGAUCCUUAACCCGUGGAGCAAGGCUUGGGAUUGAACUUGCCUCCUCAUGGAUGCUAGUCAGAUUUAUUUCUGCUGAGCCACAUGGGAACGCCCAGGAAAGUUUUCUUUGAGUAUAUCUUCGGUUUAGUGUUCCGGUUGGAUAGGCUUGUUGUGCGGGGUGAUUCCGUGUAUGUGCGCUGGCUGGAUCUCUCCUCUCCAUGAGGACAAAACAGCACACCUCUUACCCUGUUCUCUGCAUUGGACAUCUCCUUUGGGUCCUGCGUUCCCUGAGUGCGUCUUCUGCCUCUCCGCUGUUGUGUUCUGCAGGGUGUGAUCUGAGAUGUGCCACCUCCUUACGCUUUCAGAUAUCGGUGGCGUUUGCACCACGACGACGCACCCCGUCCUCUGAUGGCAGACUCUCUCUCAUGCUUUCAAAAUAGAUGUGUUUCAGAAACGACCAUUACAGAGCUCCCGUUGCGGCUCAGCAGGUGAAGAGCACAACUGGUAUCCCUGAGGAUGUGGGUUCCAUCCCUGGCUUUGCUCAGUGGGUUAAGGAUCCAGUGUUGCCACAGGCUGCGGUGUAGGUCACAGAGGGGGCUCGGAUCCCAUGUUGCCGUGGCUGUGACAUACGCCUGUACCUUGCAGCUCGGGUUUGACCUCGAGCCCAGAAACGUCCCUAUUCCACAGGUGUGGCUGUAAAAAGGAAAUAAAUAAGAAAUUAGAAAUGAGCUAUUAAAUAAAAAGUCACCUCAUGGUCAUGGGAAAAAAAUGUAUUAAAAAAAGAAAGACAGAAAUAGCUGUUUCCUCUCCCCUUCCCCCGCCUGCUUUGGAUCAGAAGUUUUGCUCUUUUUUUCUCCCCUGUGUUGAGAGAAUUGGUUAAAGGAGGCUUAGCUGAUGUUGUCUUCAUCCAGAAAGUACAUACCACUGUUCUCGCCUUUGGGUAUCUGGGUGCCUAUCCUGCAGGUGGGUCUUUCUUGCAGCCUGUCCACACUGCCUUCGGUAUAGUUCUAUCUGCCAAAUUCUAAACGUUUUAAGUCCUUCAGCGCUUUGGCAAGGAGGUUGCCUUCUGCCCACUGCAAUUGUUUGAGGACCUUCGGAGUUCUGUACCCAUCUCAUGCUUCCGAAAAUUUUCCCUAGAAGUUGGUGGAUAUUUUUACGGGAAUGUUUCCUUGUAUCUGUGACCAAGGGUGUGAAUUUCUCUCCUCCCAUGUGUGCCACCUGGUGCCCAAGAUACAGCCCGUUUCGGCCGACCCUCGUCUGUUCGUUCAGCUUAGAGAUACGUUUUCUUGGAAUCCGCAGGCGAAACAAACAGGAAAAUCUUCCCCUCCAUCCUGGAGAAAAUGCUGCCUGUUUUUGAUGAGACCUUCCUGGGUAAAAAGUUGCUGAUGUUAAGAAAAGCCAGGAGUGGGCGGCUUCCUGCAGCAAAGGCAGUUGGCCAAAGAAAGAGCGAAACCAAACAGAGGAUAUUUUUGGAAAGACUGUUCUUUGCUCCAAAUUGAUCCAAUAUAAAUGUAAUUUGGCGCGUCCGCCGGGGUGACCUCUGUGGGCUAGGACGUGAAACGUCCAGGCUGCAGAGAAUGAGGGGCAGGGCGGGAUGGAGACGAGCACAGCUGAGGACAGGCAGUUGGUAGCUUUAAUGGCAAACCACUGUCCCUUGCACAGCGCCGGGCGAUGGCCAUUGGUUUGUACGUUGUAGGUGUGGUGGGUCCAGAAGAACCGACUUCAUCACAGUCCACUCUUGGGGAAGGACAAAAGCCACAAGGAACCAGAAAGAUCCAGGCUCUGACACAGAUGGCACGUAUCUUUCCGACUUGGCAUUGCAUUGUUUGCAGCGAUGUUGUAGUUGCCCAGGGGCGGCUUGGUUCCCACCAUCCGUGUCCCCCUUGGCCGCAACACCUGAGCAGGAAGCCCGCAGCGUUUUUUUGUGCGAUGGUCCAGGGGGUUCCCAGUCUCCCAGAAAAGUCAAAUGGAUCCUCUGCUCUGGAGCAAUGGGGAUGCCUGUCUGCAGAAAUGUGCACGGCUCCCCCAGGUCCCCUCGACAACCCCCAGAGGCAGAGCGUAGGAGGCUCGGAUAAAGCCAUCCUUAGCCGAACCAGAGAGGGGACAUGUGAAUGCCUUUCCCGUCACACUGCCUUUCUCACUUCUUUUGCAGGUAACAUUUGGGGAAGACGUUUACAUAUUUACAAGUAAAUUUUUAGCUUUCUUAUUGUAGAGAAUAGAUGAGAUUUGAGUAACGUCUGUAAUAUAAUACUACUCUAUCAAGGUCAGCUUCUUUUUUUUUUUCUUUUUUUUUGGCCACGCCCACAGCACAUGGAUGUUCCCAGGCCAGGGGCUGACCCUGCACCAUAGCACUGCCCCAAGCCGCGGCAGAGACAGUGCCCGCUCCUUACCCUUCUGCAUCACAAGGGAACUCGCCAGUGUUCCUCAUUUGUAAGUUUGGAUCGGUGUAGCACAGGUAUGUGAAAUGGCAACGUGCGGAAGACCUGCUAAGGGGUGUAUGGGAACUUCCUAUAACUUGAGGCUGUGCAGCUGUCUUCUAAAUCUAAAAUGAUUUCAGAGUUCCCGUUGUGGCUCCGUGGUUAACAAAUCCGACUAGGAACCGUGAGGUUGUGGGUUCCAUCCCUGGCCUCGUUCCAUGGGUGAAGGAUCUGGCGUUGCCCUGAGCUGUGGUGUGGGUCACAGAUGCGGCUUGGAUCUGGUGUGGCUGUGGCUGUGGUGUAGGUUGACAGUUUAGACCCCUAGCCUGGGAACCUCAUAUGCUGUGGGUGCGGCCCUAGAAAAGACAAAAAAA
rnacentral:lncRNA from 1 species